GUCGAACGGCAGCACGGGUGCUUGCACCUGGUGGCGAGUGGCGAACGGGUGAGUAAUACAUCGGAACAUGUCCUGUAGUGGGGGAUAGCCCGGCGAAAGCCGGAUUAAUACCGCAUACGAUCUACGGAUGAAAGCGGGGGACCUUCGGGCCUCGCGCUAUAGGGUUGGCCGAUGGCUGAUUAGCUAGUUGGUGGGGUAAAGGCCUACCAAGGCGACGAUCAGUAGCUGGUCUGAGAGGACGACCAGCCACACUGGGACUGAGACACGGCCCAGACUCCUACGGGAGGCAGCAGUGGGGAAUUUUGGACAAUGGGCGAAAGCCUGAUCCAGCAAUGCCGCGUGUGUGAAGAAGGCCUUCGGGUUGUAAAGCACUUUUGUCCGGAAAGAAAUCCUUGGCUCUAAUACAGUCGGGGGAUGACGGUACCGGAAGAAUAAGCACCGGCUAACUACGUGCCAGCAGCCGCGGUAAUACGUAGGGUGCGAGCGUUAAUCGGAAUUACUGGGCGUAAAGCGUGCGCAGGCGGUUUGCUAAGACCGAUGUGAAAUCCCCGGGCUCAACCUGGGAACUGCAUUGGUGACUGGCAGGCUAAAAUGG
rnacentral:rRNA from 1 species